AAAGGGGAGCUGUGCUACAACACCUCUAGGGUCAACUCUUCCAGGUUAAAGUGGAGCUUUGCUACAACCAGUGCCGGUUCAGACCUCCAUGGGGCCCUAAG